rnacentral:rRNA from 1 species
CCUACGGGCGGCAGCAGUGAGGAAUAUUGGUCAAUGGACGCAAGUCUGAACCAGCCAUGCCGCGUGCAGGAAGACGGCCCUAUGAGUUGUAAACUGCUUUUGUACGAGGGUAAAUCCCGAUACGUGUAUCGGUUUGCAAGUACCGUAUGAAUAAGGAUCGGCUAACUCCGUGCCAGCAGCCGCGGUAAUACGGAGGAUUCAAGCGUUAUCCGGAUUUAUUGGGUUUAAAGGGUGCGUAGGCAGUUCGAUAAGUUAGAGGUGAAAUCGCGGGGCUCAACUCCGGCACUGCCUCUGAUACUGUCAGGCUAGAGUUUAGUUGCGGUAGGCGGAAUGUAUGGUGUAGCGGUGAAAUGCAUAGAGAUCAUACAGAACACCGAUUGCGAAGGCAGCUUACCAAACUACGACUGACGUUGAGGCACGAAAGCGUGGGGAGCAAACAGGAUUAGAUACCCCAGUAGUC